AGCCUCCCAAAGUGCUGGGAUUACAGGCAUGAGCCACCGCACCCAGCGGGGACAGGACAAUUUUGCCAGCUGGAGAAGGGGUGGCCCCCAAAUGUCCCCUUCACCACCCUCCUGCCUCUUCCUUCAGAACACUUUUUCCCUGAAGCCCUCCUGGAUAGCCCCCUACCCACAUGCCUCAGCAUUGGGAGGUGGGGAGUGUGGGGGUCCCCCUUGCUCCUCAGCCCCAUUUGGAGUAAUGUCCUGUGCAGCUGAGCUCACAACUCCUCCUCCACCUGUCCCUCCACCCGGUGUCACUGGCAAUUGCUCACUUCCUGGGCCUGCACCCACUCAGCUCCCCUAUCCCUGGGCACCAGCCUCAGCCAGCUCCCAUGUCGACUAAUGACCCUUGUCCCUCCCCUCAGCUGCCUCUCUUUUUUCUUUUUUUUUGCUUUUGAGACAGAGUCUGGCUCUGUCACCCAGGCUGGAGUGCAGUGGCGCGAUCUUGACUCAUUGCAACCUCCACCUCCUGGGUUCAAGCGAUUCUCGUGCCUCACCCUCCUGAAUAGCUGGGAUUACAGGCACCCGCCACCAUGCCCGGCUGAUUUUUGUAUUUUGGUAGAGACGGGGUUUCACCAUGUUGGCCAGGCUGGUCUCGAACUCCCGACCUCAGGCGAUCCAUGCACCUCGGCCUCCCAAAGUGCUGGGAUUCCAGGCUUGAGCCACCGCCCCUGGCCCAUCUUCACUAUUUUUAAGUGGACAGCACAGUAGUAUUAACUAUAUGCACAUCGUUGUGCAAUAGAUCUCUGGAACUUUUUCACCUUGCAAUACUGAAACCCUACACUCAACAAACAACUCGCUUUCCCUGCCCCGCUCCAGCCCCUGAAAACUUCUACUCUCCUUUCUGCUUCUGUGAAUUGUACUAUUCCAGAUACCUCCCAUAGGUUGAAGCAACCACUAUUUGUCUUUCUUUGUAACUGGCUCAUUUCACUUAGCAUUAUGUCUUCAGGUUUCAUCCAUCUUUUAGCAUGUGUAAGAAUUUCCUUCCUUGCUUUGUUUGUUUGUUUGUUUGUUUGUUGAGACUGAGUUUCACUCUUGUCACCCAGGCUUAGAGUGCAAUGGUGCGAACUUGGCUCACUGCAACCUCUGCCUCCCGGGUUCUCUUGCCUCAGCCUCCAGAGUAGCUGGGAUUACAGGCGCCUGCCACCAUGCCCGGCUAAUUUUUGUAUUUUUAGUAGAUAUGGGGUUUCACCAUGUUGGCCAGGCUGGUCUCGAACUCCUGACCGCAGGUGAUCCACCCACCUCGGCCUCCCAAAGUGCUGGGAUUACAGGCGUGAGCCACCGUGCCCAGCCUCAACGUUCUUUAACUUUUUACAAUCUUCUCUCAACAAAAGUGUAACCCAAGAUACCUUGACAAGAAAUCUUCCAGAUAAAUAUUUUUGAGCUAGUUUCAAUGAUGCCUAUCCACUAAAUUUUCUCUCAAAUACUUGCAAUAAUAAUAAAGUCAACAGUACUCUAGGCAAGAGUAUACUGAGGAAGUACACAAUUAAUCAGUUCUUCCCAAAAAAUAAUCGUAAUAGUUUCUUCCUCAAAUCUUUUCUUCUGCAAUGUCUAAUCUCAUCCAUUGUAUUUUUCAUCUCAGACACUGUAGUUUUCAUUUAUAGAAAUUCAAUUUUGGUCUUCUUUUUAUAUCUUCCAUGUCUUAAGUGUUUGAACAAGUGCAAUACAGUUAUAAUAACUUUUAUUUUCCUUCUCUGCUAAUUCGGUCAUCUAUAUCAGUUUUGGGUUAGUUUCAAUUAUUCUCUUCAUUAUAACUCAUGGGUUUUUUUGCCCUUUGCAUGUCUGAUAAUCUUUGAUUCAAUGCUAGACAGUGAAACCACCUCUGCAAAAAUCAUAACUGAGAAAAUUAUUACAGUGAAAGAGAUCUGACAUAACCAGCUCCAUCUUGCUUCUAAUCACCAAGCUGUCCUUGUUCAUUUCUAGGUACAGGCUGAACUAACUUUUGGGAGGAAUUUAGUUUAUAGUUUAGCUUUGAAACCAAGACAAUAACAGCCAUUUCCCAAACAAACUCCAUUCCUGCCUGGGGACUAGACUCCCUUUUCAGGACAACAAAUUAGCCAAAAGAUUAGAAAUUGUGGUUUAGGAGUCAUGUAGCUGGAAGCUGCCCAAAUUGCUAAACCUCCCCAAAUUGCUCCUGCGGAUAACAUCACUAUUGUAAAACCUAAGAUCAGUGCUUGAAAUAUUUUGCAGACCCUAAACUCAGUCGAUCGGCUGGCAUAACCCAGAUUGAUAAGCUGGCUCAUCUGGUCUUGUGGCCCCCAGUCAGGAACUGACUCAACACAAAAGGACAGCUCUGACUCCCUAUGAUUUCAUCUCAGACUGACUAAUCAAAACUCCUAACUCACUGGCCCCCUAUCAAAUUAUCCUUAAAAACUCAGAUCGUCAGAUUCUCAGGGAGACUGAUUUAAGUAAUAAUAAAACUGGUCUCCUGCAUAGCCAGCUCUGCGUGAAUUUCUCUUUCUCUACUGCAAUUCCCGUCUUGAUAAGUUGGCUCUUUCUAGGCAGUGGGCAAGGUGAACCUGUUGGAUGGGUUACAACAUUGUGAAUUUUACUUUGUUGGGUGCUGGAUAUUUUUGUAUUCCUGUAAAUCUUGAGCUUUGCUCAAGGAUGCAGUUAAGUUACUUGGAAAUAGUUUAAGCCUUUCAUCUCUUGCUUUUAUAAUUUGUUAGGCAAUUAUAGAGUGGUGCUCAGCCUAAGACUGAUUGUUUCCCACUACUAAAUGCUCUACCCAAUGCCCCAUGAGUUAUGAUUUUCUUUCCAGUCUGGUGGGAAGAACAGGCAUUAUUCCUGGACCUGUGUGAGCACCAGGUUCUAUUCCCUCUGGUACUUUGUCCUGUGAACCCUGUCUUGAUCUUUAUCGACUCCAUCUUGAUCUCCCUAACUCAGGGAGUGUUCUAGACUCCAGAGCAGUUCCCUUUUCCCGUACUGGAGCCUGGAGACUCUCUCAAGGCAGUAAGCAAGACUCAUCUUGUUUGUUUCCUGUAUCUGCUUAAUUUUUAAAUUUUUUUGUCAUUGUUUCAGGUGGGAAGGUAAGUCAGACCCUUUAACUCCAUCCUGCCCAGAAGACUUCAUUAUUUUUCUUUCUCCCUCUCCCUGCCUUCUUUUCACCCUCUUUUUUAACUUAUUUUGAAAUAAUUUCAUACUGACAAGUUACAAAAACAGUAGAGAGAGGUUCUGUAUACCCAUCACUCAGUUCCCCUAAUGGUGACAGCUUCUAUAAGUAUACUGCACUAUCAAAACCAGGAAAUUAGCUGGCAAAUUAACUGGACUAUAGACCUUACUCAGAUUUCACCAGUUUUUACAUGCAUUCAUUUUUCGGGUAUGUCUUUGUAUAUACUCAUGACAUUUUAUCUAUCACAUAUAUAGCUUCAUAUAUAACCAUCAUUUUAAUCAAGAUAUGGAACUGUUCUGUCACUACAAAGGAAGUCCCUUGUCAUGUCCCUUUAAAGUCAUACUCUCCUUCUCCUUCCCUAACCUAUGGCAACCACUUGUCUAUUCUCUACAUCUUUAAUUUUGUCGUUUCAACAAUGUUAUAUAAAUGGAAUCAUAGAGUAUGGACCAUUUUGAGAUUGGCUUUUUUCACUCAGAAUAAUGCCCUUAAAUUCCCUUCAAGUUGUUUACAUCAACAGAUUGUUCCCUUUGUCGGUGAAUUACCUUAUGUGGACAUACCAUGAGUCAUAUGAACAUUCAGUAAUGGAAGGAUAUUUAAGUCAUUUCCAGUUUUUUGGCUAUUACAAAUAAAGCUGUGAACAUUUGUGUACAGGUUUUUGUGUGAACAUAAGUUACAUUUCCCCAGGAUAAAUGCCCAGGAAUAUAAAUGCUAGGUGAUUAAUGGUAGUUUCUUUUUUUUUCUAUUUUUUUAAGAAACUGCCAGACUGAGUUAUAGAGUAGCUGUAUCAUUUUACAUUCCCACCAGUAAUGUAGAAGAGAUCCAGUUUCUCUGCACACUUGCCAGCAUUUGAAUAAUCAGUAUUUUUAAUUUUUGCCAUUCUAGUAAGUAUGUAGUAUUUUAUUCUGGUUUUAAUGUGCAUUUCCCUAAUGGCUAGUGAUGUUAAUAUCUUUUUGUGUAUUUAUUUGCCAUCAUAUAUCUUCUAUGGUUGCACUGUUUCUUAAAAGUUACAAGAUUAAACUUCUGUGUGCACGAAUCAUGUUUUCUUCACUACUGGGGAUAGUUCACUUAGGAUAAGGAUUUGGCUAUGGUUUAAUAUUUCUUGAAUGACCAAAAUAAAUACAAAGACAAUAAUAAAACAAAACCCCACAGGCAUCACAAACAGAACUCAUAAUGCUCUGAGAUUGGGGCCUGCACUUUGAACUCUAGUCUAGGGAUCAGCAAACUAUAGCUCACGGGCCAAAUCUGGCCAGGGGCCUGUUUUUGUAUGCCCUGAAAGCUAAGAAGGGCUUUUACUUUUUUUUUUUUUGAGACGGAGUCUCUGUCACCCAGGCUGGAGUCCAGUGGCAUGAUCUCGGCUCACUGCAAUCUCUGCCUCCUGGGUUCAAGCAAUUCUCCCUGCCUUAGCCUCCCGAGUAGCUGGGAUUUCAGGCACCCGCCACCACACCCAGCUAAUUUUUGUAUGUUUAGUAGAGACAGGGUUUCGCCAUGUUGGCCAGGCUGGUCUCUAACUCCUGACCUUAGGUGAUCCAUGCACCUCGGCCUCCCAAAGUGCUGGGAUUACAGGCGUGAGCGACCGUGCCCGGCCGGGCUUUUACAUUUUUAAAGGGUUAUUUAAAAACAAAAAAAUAUAUGCAACAGAGUCCAUAUGUAAUCUGCUAAGUCUAACAUAUUUACUAUAUGGUGUUUACAGAUAAAGUUUGCAGAUGAAUGGAAAGAAAACCUGAUCUUCUUUUUUGGGGCAAACAUUAACAACAUUGACAUCUGAUUACCCAUGAUACUCUCAAGAUCUUAUUCUUUAACAAAAAGGUGGGGAAAUAAAAACACCAUAAAAGCGGCCGGGUGCAGUGGCUCACGCCUGUAAUCCCAGCACUUUGGGAGGCCGAGGUAGGUGGAUUGCUUGAGCUCAAGGGUUCGAGACCAGCCUGGACAACAUGGUGAAACCCUGUUUCUACCUCCCCCAGCUCAAAAAAAAAAAAAAAAAAAAAAAGCUGGGUGUGGUGGUGCACAACUGUAGUCUCAUCUACCUGGAAGGCUGACCUCCCAAGCUUAGGCGAUCCUGAUGAGGCUGCACUGAGCCAUGACCUUGCUGCUGCACUCCAGCCUGGGUGACAGAGUGAUACCCUGUCUCAAAAACAAAAACAAAAAACCAAAUUUCUUUCCAGGGUUCAAAUGUAAACUACAGACAGGAGAUUCCCAUAACAACAUAUGAGGGCUUUAGGAAAAAACAAAACAAAAACAACCCUGGAAGAUUUCAGGAUAAAUAGAGGACACGUUUUUCUACCAAACAUACUUUCAAAAGUAGAAAAUCAUGGAUUUAAAAAACUUUUUUGUAGGGCUUGAUAUGUCUAAAUGUAUCAAGUUUCAAGUGUGCUAACUUUAUGAACACUUGUCUCUGUUCUUAAAUGCAUAACAUGAUCUUAAAUUUUUCAGAUCUUUAGAAAUGUUAAGCAAUGCAAAGAUUUCUACCCCAUCUCCCUCCACAUCUUUAAAAGCCAAAAACCACCUACCAAAACUCCAUUACUGUUUGUGAAUGAAGAAUUUUCAUGACUUGAAAACCUUCCUAAUGUCCCAUCUUUAACACUUUUUUAGAAAGGAGGGCUCUUGUUGUGUUCUUUAACCUCUUUUCACAUCAUUAACUUCUUCAUGGUUGACAUCAGUACUAUCCUCUUAAAAAUUCAAAUGUGAACUAACAGCAUCAUUUAUUGAAGGCAUAUUAUGUUAAAAUUAGUGAUUUUCCCAAGGACAAAAUGUUAAGUGGAAAAGUCAGUACUCAGAUUCAGGUGUGACUCCCAGGCCCAAGCAUAGCCUGGAACGAAUUAAGAAGGUCACCAUAUUAAUUUUCAUAAGGUGAAAGAAAACAAGCAUUAUAUAUUUUUCCACAUCAGAAAAUGUUGAAGACCUAAGAGACUCCAGUGGCUGGCUCUGAACCCUACAGCAAGACAGUGGCAGAGUUGGAAUGGAUUCUGGAUGUCUUUGCUAACCAUUAAGAAAGAGUUACUGAAUAACUUUCCAUUACUCUUAAAAAGUUACUGUUCCCAAGUGUAUUGAGAAUUCGGAGAUCUGAAGUAAGACAGAAAUCUUUGUUUUCAGUUGUCUUUAAGCUUUUGCCAGUAACAUGGUCCCAGUAGAAGAAAACAUAAAACUGUAAUCCUAAUCAAAUUUUGCAACAUCAAAUACUAUUUCAAUAGUUUCAAAUACUAUUCCAAUAUUGUUCCAGCAAUAUUCCAAAUAAUACUAAGAAAUAUUUUAAAUGAAUAAAGACUAACAAUCUUCAAAAGUUUUACAGUUUUCUGUUUGUUUUAUUUUGCCUACUGUGCAAAACAUUAAAUUAUUUGU
rnacentral:lncRNA from 1 species